GGAGUCGUACCCAAGUCCGGCUGAAGGGGACGGACUCGAAAUCCGUUAGGGGUCGCAAGGCUCGCGUGGGUUCGAAUCCCACCGACUCCGC
rnacentral:tRNA from 1 species